GGCUGCCCUUGAUCUACUAUUCGAUACAACGACUGGAACCACACCACAGCAGCCAUCGCGGAUCUCUUCGCCGAUCCAUCCCCACCCCACCUGCCUCCUUCCUGAUCCCGACCUCCCGAACCCUACCUCGACGCCAACCGCGCCGCCGCCUCCUUCGACCCACCACUCCGUUCCAUUGAUCCACUCCGCGACGGCCAGUUCUCGCGGCAGUCGCCGCCCGCUCUUCUCCUCCUGGUCCACCUCCCCACCAAGCUCUCUCUCCUAGAUCGUGAGAUGGUAGCGGAGGCACAUAGGUUUCGGCUUCUCCACUAAUGGCGAUAUCAAGAGCUGGUGGAGGCCGGCCAAUGGACACGUCUCUCGCCCUCGCACGUAACGAAAAAAAUCAGCCAACAUGCCUCCCCUCGAUCCGUUUCCAACGCGGAUAGUCAAAGACGCCCCAGCCGCCAUAGCGGAGUCCUUCGCCGACACCGAGCGGUGACUACCCUAGCGGCGGUUGCGGGAAAGAUGGAUCCUUAUCCUCCCGAAAAUAGACUCGGCGCCCUCGUGGUUUGUAGCGGCACACUCCCUUCCCACGCCGCCGAAGAGGCCCCCAGGGCGGCCGACGACGCCUUUAGCGGCCUUCCGGAGACACAGCAAGUCUGGCCUACGGUGGGGUGGCGGCAUGCGCAGCAUGGUCGUCGUUUGAUUCAGGAGCGACCUCCGGCUGCUGAACAACCAGUCACUGGAGCACGUGUGGAUGGCCUCUGGCACUGUCCUCACCAAUGGAGGAGCCUCGCCUAUGCUGCAGUGCUGCAGGGCGGUGGUCGGGGUGGUCCGCACCGGCGCCUACAAUGUGUGCCUCAUCCUAACUGGCAAAGUGAUCUUCAGCCUCCCCAUCAACUACACCCUCGGCAUCUCCCUUCCGAGGAUCUGCAAGUCACUCCCCGUCCCGCUCGUUUGUAGAGUUCGGUUUCUGCUUGCAACAAUUUAUUUUCAUUGAAGAAAUUUACUUCUAAUUAACGAAAAAUGUUCUUGUUUGUUCCAUGCUUGUGAUGUGUAGAUACGGCGACGCAGAUCCUAGCUCCAGAUGUCUUAAAUUCUCCUUUGUUGACCUUGCCUUGACAUCGCCUCGAUGUCUCGCAAUUCUUCCGCACUGUUGCCACCGGAUUCGUCGGUUGAUGAGAAGGCGCUGUUGCCGUGAGUGGAAUCGACGCCGAUCAUGCAGGGGCAGAGAUAGGUGGUGGUACCCAUCAUGCGUUGGUAGAUAUGUUUUUGCAAGUCUGUGUUACACUUGGUAUUGUGUGCGUAUGUAUGUAGUUAGACAAGUAAAUCUGUUUCAUGGAGGAGAGAGUGCAGCUCUGUGAAGAGUUCAUGAAUACUUCUGAAAGAAUGAUCAGCUGACAGUCUAUAAAAGGUAUAGAAAUGGCAUGCUUGGUCCAAAGUACAACAGUUUGUUGGCUUGCUUCGGACAGUCUUUCGCCGUGCUAUAUUUGUCAAGAGGUAAUGACAUAUGAGAAGCAAAGAGGAUCAAAUGAUUCCACAUACUGGGUAUUAUUUGAACUGAUAUGGGGGGCUACUUCAGAUUCCUUUUCAGCAAAAUAUGGGAACUCCAUUUUCUUGCAAGGGUAACCAUAGCAUCUACAUUGCUUUAUGCCUGAAACUGAGAGCUUUGGAACAGUGCUAUGCGCUAUUGGACAAGUAGAUACAGAGAUACCUAUCAUUGGUGGUCAGCAGCAAAUACGAGAAAUGUUAGAUACAUCCACACUCUUUCUUGAUCUAUGGUUAAUCCCCCUCUUGCCUACCAUAAGCUCUUGGUGAAUUACCAGAUUAAGCGGAAGUGCUAACCUAUUGUUGGUAGCAGUAGGAGAUGUUGAUGUUCCAUGGAAUUGUUAAUCCCGUCUCCAAGUUUUAAUGUUUGAUCUGCGUGUUAUUGACCUAAGAGAAAAUGGGUUCUGAAGCUUCGAUAUGAUGUAUUUCUAACAAAUAGCGACAAAAUCAAUACCUCACACGGGCAAUUACUCUUAUAUGGUUUGAUGCUUGAAAAAUUGUAGAGUCAGCACCUCUUAUUAAAGUGUACACGAUGCAAUAAAAAAAGCAUCUUGAGUACCAUGCCCAGGUACAGUUUUAAUGCUUAUAGCUGUAUUUUGCUCCAUUAGAAAAUACAACUAUAUUUUAUUCCUGAUAGGGCAAUCUUAUACGGGGAAAAUUACUCCUGAAUGUGUACAACUAUAUAAUGUUCCUACAGAUGUAUUUUGUUCCAUUAAAAACAUAGUAUUUCUGCUAUCUCAGUUGGAUGGCCACUGUUAUGUCAAUUUGAUGGCCACUAUGUUUUGCUACGGCAGAAGAUUCAACUAUAUUUUGCUAAUACAAGUACAACACUCAACCUCUGCUAUGCCAAUUCGAUGGCCACUACAUAUUCAGACGGGCAAUGAACCAAAUAACUCUUUCACUGGGCCACUGAUAAUAUUAUUGGUCGAGCUGAUUAGGGAAGUAAACUAUAUACAACAAUAAAGUGAAGUUGAACUGUUUAGAGAAGUAAAAUAUACAGAAGUAAUCUGAAGUACACUUGGAUCCAAAAGAUGUUGGUGGAAAUACUUCAACAAGCUUGAUGCAUUCAUUAUUCUGUAAUACUAGGAUUAACAAUGAUGUCGCUGUUGGUUACUUUGCAGGUAACAAUGUUACGCUGAUGACAUAGUUUAUUUAGCUCUCAAGAAUGGCUGCUUAUCGUUCAAGAAUCUGGACAACUACUUCUAUUUCGUAUUCAUACUAAAACUUCUAUGAAGCAACAAAUUUUCCUUCUUGUGAAUUUGUUCUGAAGCUACUAAAAUAUCCCCUUGUACUAAAAUAAGAUUUCUACUCAAAUUUUGUCAAGAUACUAAAUUUUACUUGCUUGCUCAUGCCUUAAAAUCUACCUUGUUGCCGAAAUUUAAUGAGGAGCUCAAGGGAAAAAAUGAACCAAGGAGAAGGGAUCCAGAGAAGGAGAAUUAAGAUGUGCCUUUCACUUAUAAUUUCUAAACACUACAGGAAUCAUGAUAUCGUGUUAGCAUAAUUGCAUGGUUACGUGUUAGAAGUGUGAAUGUGGGAGGCUUGGCCGGGGGAUUGUGAGCUGGAGAUUGUGGAGGAAAAUAAACAAGACUGAUUUGACUGUAAAAAAAUGUUGAUGUGCUUUUUAUGAAAUAUUUGGCCAAUCAUGUGUUGCAACGUGGGCACAUAUUUUCAUAGUUCUAUAUCAGUCAUAUCUGACAGAGAUCUGGAUGUUCGGUAUAUGAUAUGUAGUAUACUAUGCAGACCGCUGUUAAAUAUCAUAUACCCAGCCCGUGUACUACAUAUCAUAUAUCCACUCUGCACACUACAUAUCAUAUACCCAGUCUAAUGAACCAUGCGGUUCUGGCAUGAAGAAAAAUCCGUAUAUGGAUUUUUUUUCAUGGUUCAUGGGACCAACAACAUUGAAAGAGCAUUUCAGCUGUAUGAUUAGGCUUCUUGAAUUCUGACGUGGAGUAUGUGAUCGCGAGCUCACAGGAGCUCGGAAUCACGCCCGUCCAGAAUUGCUAUGAGAUUCGUCGCAUUAAAUGCUAUAGCCAGUUGGUGGGUCCAUGCCGACAAAGGAAAAUUAGGAUAUACGGCACAAUACGCGUCUGACAGAUGGGGCAAGGUGGACGGAGGGGUGCACGGCGUCGCCUGUGCAUGCCUGAGCCGUGGCUCGAGCUUGUCGCAGGCGUCCUGAUCCGUGGAUCAGGUACGGUGCUUUCUGCUAGCGCCGGCAGUGCCCGAACUAAAUGCAGUAGUUGGGUCAGUCGCUGGUUACGGGGGUGAAGUUGGAUUUGCCUCUCGUCCCGGUCGGUGAAGAGGUGGAGAUAUUUACUCCGGCGACGGCGACUGGGCGGUGCAGCGACCUCGGACAGGCUCCGGCGACCAUGGAGUUCUUACUGCAGCCGCUAAACAGUAGAACAUUCCUGGAAGAGGUGAAUGAUAACAACGGGGCAAUGGAGCCCGUGCGGUUCCCAGUAUCCGCGGUGGCUGAGGUUGAGGAUCCAGCACCGGCCGCUUCAAGUGCUGACGGGCAGAUCUGCGGGGCGGAGGCAGCAGGCGCGGACAUGGCUCAGUGCUCCGAGCACUCAAUGGAGCAAAUUGACCCAAAAACACCAGGGCGGACGCAAAGAGUGCAUGUAGGUGCUGCUGCUCUACGAAGGCCUCCGUGCCCGGACAGGGUCACGGCGCUGGAGAAGACUGACAGGGAAUUUGCCGAGCAUCCAGGUGACAUAGUUAUGGUGCCAAAGAUUGGAACAAAUUUUGACACGCUCGGAGAAGCUUAUGACUUUUAACUCCUGGAAGAAAGGAUUUGGAAUACGAUAUGGAAAGAGCAGGCUAAACGUUAGCAGGACUAAGUGUAUGCAAGAUAUAGUCUGUGGAUGCGCGGGGAAGCCAAUCGUUGAAAAUACUCGUUCAUGCCGGUGUGAAUGCCCAGCCCUCAUCAGACUACUGCGGACAAAGGACAAUGGAUGGUACGUAGCAGAGCACCGAGAUGGGCACAACCAUGCACUUUCCCAAACAUAUGGACAGACAAUACACUGGCCUACGGCAGUGAGCGCGGAAGCACGGAUCUGCGUGAUGGACACAGCAGCGGUGGUCAAUGAGGGACAGCUCGCGUCAGGCCUCGGAGCUCUGAACUGGAAAGAUGAAUCCACAUGCUUCUAUCUGGAAUUAGAGGAUAAAGCUGGUGUUGAGAACACGAGGUCUUGUCGUUGCGAAUGCCCGGCUCUAAUAAGACUGCUACGGGCAGAGGACAAUGGGUGGUACAUUGCAGAGCACAGAGAGAGUCACAACCAUUCCCUUUCACUGAAUUUGGGUGAGACGAUCCACUAGCCCUCGCACAAGCACAUAGAUGUGUUCGGCUGGUGACUACAUGUUCUCGUCUCUUUGAUCGUUCUUUUUUCAGAUCUGAAACUGCACUGCAUCAGUGGUGAUUGAACUCAAGUUCUCGCCGGAUUUCCAUUGAUUGAGGAGGUGGACGGCACGUAAUGCUUGAGGUGUCCGUCUAGGACACCGGUGGCCGCGGAUGCCAUUGAUGUCCAUCAGGUGUCGACAGCAGCCAUUAGUGCCGAAGGGCAGGUCUGUGAGCUGGCUGCUAGUGUGGGCUCCGGGAAGGAGAGCUCCCCGCCGGAAUUGGAGCUGUCUGCGGGGAAACUCAAUCCGCAAGCACCAUGGUUGGCAAUGAGGAUUCGCAUUGGAUCAGCGAGUCCAUUUAGAGGCAGCGUGGUCAAGUUAGCCGGACUGUGGGCGCCCGCAAUAAUAAAAGAGAUUGGGAGACCAUGCAGACCUGCUCACUGCAAGAACCACGGUGUACAGGGUCACUCGAGAUUUUUUUUGUACAAGCCGGGUGAAAUGAGACUGGGUUCAGGGGCUUGAGUCGGCGUUCAUGCCAAAUGGUUAGACAGUUGGGUUCGAAUUCCCUCCAGUUGUGCAUCACAAAGAGUUUUUAGUUAUGUCAACGUGCGUGUGUUAUUUCUGCUGUAAUGAUCCUCUAUUUCCUUUGUGGACAAAGAAUUGGCUCAAUGGGACUAAUAUGGUACGUGAAUUUUAGACUGAACGACAAUUGAUGUGCAUCUAAACUUCAUGUCCUAUUUGUACGUGGCAGUAUUACUCGUGUGAGCUGUAGGCAGAAAUUGGUUAGGAUCUAAUCCUUGCUCUGUUUUGAAUUCUGAGACAAGGAACAAUUGACGGGCGGUAGAAGGCUCGGGGUCGGAGAAAAUGGCUCAGCUCGUUAGCGAUCCAUCUGUCCCGAUUCUAGGGGACGGCAACAGGCUUAAUAAAUGUUGGGCCAUAGUGGGCCAAGCAACAGAUUGAUGGGACAUAUACUAUUUGGAAUACGCCUGCUUAUACACUGGGAUGUCCGAAUCUUGCAGAGAAACAAUGUGGGAGAUAAUGAGAGUCUGUGCGCUCGAGCUCAAUUCAGCAUUUUCGAUCCCGUCUCCAAGUUUUAAUGUUUGAUCUGCGUGUUAUUGACCUAAGAGAAAAUGGGUUCUGAAGCUUCGAUAUGAUGUAUUUCUAACAAAUAGCGACGAAAUCAAUACCUCACACGGGCAAUUACUCUUAUAUGGUUUGAUGCUUGAAAAAUUGUAGAGUCAGCACCUCUUUUUAAAGUGUACACGAUGCAAUAAAAAAAAGCAUCUUGAGUGCCAUGCCCAGGUACAGUUUUAAUGCUUAUAGCUGUAUUUUGUUCCAUUAGAAAAUACAACUAUAUUUUAUUCCUGAUAGGGCAAUCUUAUACGGG
rnacentral:rRNA from 1 species